GGGGCGGUAGCUUAAAUGGAUAAAGCAAGAGUUUCCUAAACUCUAGACUGCGGGUUCGAGUCCCGCCCGUCCCA
rnacentral:tRNA from 2 species